CCGCGGCCUAAAACGUGCAAGUCGAGCCGCGAAGUUUUCGGAUGAGUAGAGCGGCGAACGGGUGAGUAACGCGCGGGUAUCUGCCUGGUAAUGGGGGACAACAUCUCGAAAGGGAUGCUAAUACCGCAUACGCCCUAAGGGGGAAAGUGGGGGAUCUUCGGACCUCACGUUAUCAGAGGAGCCCGCGUCGGAUUAGCUAGUAGGUAGGGUAAUGGCCCACCAAGGCGACGAUCAGUAGCUGGUCUGAGAGGAUGAUCAGCCACACUGGGACUGAGACACGGCCCAGACUCCUACGGGAGGCAGCAGUGGGGAAUAUUGGACAAUGGGCGCAAGCCUGAUCCAGCCAUGCCGCGUGAGUGAUGAAGGCCCUAGGGUUGUAAAGCUCUUUCGGCGGGGACGAUAAUGACGGUACCCGCAGAAGAAGCCCCGGCUAACUUCGUGCCAGCAGCCGCGGUAAUA
rnacentral:rRNA from 1 species